CCAUUUUGGUGCCAAUUUGGGCCUUUUGAUACACAAUUUGGGCCAUUUGGUGCCAUUUUGAUCCAUUUUGCUGCCAAUUUGGCCCAUUUUUGUUCCAAUUUGGUACCCAUUUGCUUCCAUUGCCCCAUUCUAGGACCACGUGUUGACUCAACCGCGUCCCUAUUACCGCUGGGACACCGCUGUGGCCCCCGACCAUUGGCUGGCGGCCGUUCAGGUCUGGGAGGUGAAAUGUGGGGACCUCUCCAUCUCCCCCGUCUAUAGGGCAGCCGUGGGGCUGGUGGAUGAGGACAAGGGCAUCUCAUUGCGCUUCCCGAGGUUCCUGCGUGUGCGUGAGGACAAGAAACCCGAGGAGGCCACCAGCAGUACACAGGUGGCCGAGCUGUACAAGAAGCAGCAGCAGAUCCAGAACCAGCAGCAGGCGGAGAAAGGGGACGAGGAGUUCUAUUGACAUCACCCGACCCCAUAGACCCCAUAGAUCUAUGGGGUCUCUAUGGGGAUCUAUGGGGUCUAUGGGGGCAGUGUUCCCCUAUGGCAUGAGGACUUUGGGAUGUAAUAACCCUCCAUCCGUUGUAUUCCCCCACCCCAUAUCUAAUGUCACUCCUGCCCCAUCCCUGGAGCUCCCUAUGUGUCCCCAAUAAAUUGUCUGCGAUUGCUCCAGC